rnacentral:rRNA from 1 species
UACGUAGGAGACGAGCGUUGUCCGGAUUUACUGGGCGUAAAGCGCGCGCAGGCGGCCCCGCAGGUCGGUUGUGAAAGCCCCCGGCUCAACCGGGCGGAGGCGAGCGAAACCGCGGGGCUGGAGGCUGGCAGAGGGUGGUGGAAUUCCCGGUGUAGUGGUGAAAUGCGUAGAGAUCGGGAGGAACACCCGCGGCGAAGGCGGCCACCUGGACCAGGCCUGACGCUGAGGCGCGAAGGCCGGGGGAGCGAACGGG